AGAAGAGUGUUUUCCGUAAGGAUUUUUAAAAGGAAACUUUCUUCUCUUUCGGUACUAGCUCGGGUAUUCGGCUUCGCUCAGGGAGUCGAAAUGAAAUUGUGUGGUAGUUGAAAUAAAAAGAUAAACUUUAAAAUAUAAGAGACGUGGAGAACACUCGGAAAACGUCACGUGGCUAACCUGUUUAAGCGUGGUGCGGACCCACGGCCAAACUUUCAGUGUUUAGGGGUCGUCCAUUCAAAGUACCAGGACGAAGUCUGCUCGGCCACGGAGAGGUUCCAGUUAGAAAAACCCGUUUCAAAAGUAGCAGAGUCGAGUUGGUAUUCCAUCAGUCUGGGUAUAACGCAUAUUGUUGAUGUAAACCUGCUGAUGAAAGACAUUGUGGUUUGAAACACAAAUAUGAUGUGUGCAGGUGAAAUAGGUGAUCAAUAAAGAUUGUUUUUCUGAUUAAAACUUUCUCAUUUUACAGAAAUGAAAUAUUAGUACAAUAAGUCAUAGUAAUAUAAUAAGUUCUAGUAGACAUAAAUAUGAUACAUCGUAUUAAAUAAAGAGAUAAAUUCAAUUGUAGUAAUGUGUUUUUGUACAAUGUCAUUACUUGGUGAAGUUAAUAAAUAAAGCAAUU